UUCACCAUAUACCCCUGAUAAUUUUUUUUUGCACCAUAUACCCUUUCUGUAAUAUCCUGAAAACUUAAACGUGUUUAAGUAAAUAAUUAAUUUUCUUAUGAGCAGUUAAAUUAUAUUUUACCUAAAGUUCCACUAAUUAAUUAACGUAUAAUAAAACGAAUAUAAAAAUUCCCAACUUAAAAGUAUUAAUAUACUAGUGACGAUGAUUUAUAAUUUACGAUUUCAUGAGUUAAAAGGCUAAUGUAGUUGUAAUUCACUUAAAGUACAAAAUGUCAACAUUUCACCCAAAUUGUUACUAAGUCACGUUGAUAAGUGUUAGUGGGGAAAAUUUCUGAUUUUUGGUUGAGAAAAAAAAAUAAAAAGGAAAAAGAAAAAAAAAGAAGAAAGAAAGCUAUGGUCAAUUCCCCCAUUAAUGGUGUCUUCUUCCUCACUCCACCAUGUCCAUUUGUCACUCAUGCAAUCACAACUUUCUUCUCUUCUUCAGACAAAUCUGUCACCAAUCCUCACCCAAAGCUUCUUCAAGUUGACAAAUUCAGAUUAUUUACUUCACCAUCUUCCUCCCAACCACUGAUUUUAAAACCUCCAAACUCCACUAUAAAUAGCCAUGGAGAUUCAACAUCAAGAACCCACCAACAAUAACCUUCAUCCUCUCUUCUCUCUCUAAUCAUAAAUUCAGUCAAUAAUCGCCGGAAAAUUUGUAACUAAAAGAAAUCGAAAAAGAAACCCCCAAAUUUUUACUCUCUCUUCUGUUUCGGUCCCCCCCACGAAACACUCCCGUCGGCCACCGGGCGACGCCGGUCUCGCGCCACGCUUAGUCGCCCCCUCACCUCGCCGGCCGCCUGCACAGCUUGUCGGAGAUCCGCGCCAGCAGCUUCAUUCUCUCUCUCUCCUCGCGCUGUCUCUCUCGCCCCUCUUCUUCUUCGCACGACGCUGCUGCACGCGCAGCACUGCCGACGGCCAGCGCGCGCCGAACCACCCGAUACCACCGCCGGAGAGUGCUGCUGCUCGCCGUUCACUGGAGUCGGCGUCCUAUCCCCUGCCGGAAUUUUCGUUGCCUUCCCUGCUCAAUGAGCAGAGAUUAAAGAAGAUAAAGGAUAUUACAAGCCUCCCCCGGCUAUCAUGGUUGGUAAGCAGGAAUUCAGGUAUGGGAGAACAGUUGUGGAUCACUAUUAUAUUGCGUUAUGGAGAUUAUGUAUGAUUCAUGAGGUUUUAAGAUACUUUGUAUAAUGGAUAAACAAGUAUUAUCUUGCGAUGAGUAAUUGUAUAGUGAAUUUUAAAUUUUAGGCUACUAUUUUAUUUGUGGGCCAUAAUCCACAGGAUUAAGUUAUGCUUCCGCUGACGAUUAAGGUUAUGUAAAUUUGUCGGGGCGUU